GGCACUAUAGCCAAGUGGUUAAGGCGACAGAUUAGAACCAUAAGGUGGUUUCUGGUAUCUGUUACUCUCUGAGUGCGCAGGUUCAAAUCCUGCUGGUGUCG